UGUUCAUGAGUGAUGGAAAAUGGAACUAGAGAUGGACAGGUGGAUUGUUGCAGCGUCAGCAGUAAUGAAGGCGUUGUAUCAAACCGUCGUGGUGAAGAGGGAGCUGAGCCUCAAGGAGAAGAUCUCAGUUUACCAUCCAUCUACGUUCCAACCCUCACCUAUGGUCAUGAGCUCUGGGUAGUGACCCAAAGAAUGACAUCGUGGAUACAAGCGUCUGAAAUGAGCUUCCUCUGUAGGGUGUCUGGGCUCAGCCUUAGAGAUAGGAGGAGAAGAUCAGACAUCUGGAGGGAGCUCAGAGUAGAGCUGCUGAUCCUUCACCUCUGAAGGAACCAGUGGAGGUGGUUUGGACAUCUGAUUCAGAUGGAUGGAUGGACUGCAUCAGACUGCUGGUGUUUUGUGUGGAUGUGUUGAGAACAUCUGGAGGUUGUCCACUCGUUCUCCAUCCAUGGUCUGUCUUUGGUAAAUAAAGAUCUAAGUCCUGCAGGUGUUUUUGUGGAGAGUGUCAGCAGAUGUGAUAAACUUUAGGCUGGGCAGGUUUGGUUUCUAAAAGCAGCAGUGAGGAGCUAAAAAUAAGCUGCUGAUGUCAGCCGGGUGGAGCUUAUUUUAGGAGACGUCAGCUUCAGAACACAGAGUGACACGUUCUAAAAACAGCAGCAGAGUGUAGCAGAGUGCAUCUGUGUGCAUUCUCACCCUCUCCAAAGUGUAUUUUGUGUAUAUUUUGUGUGUUGUGUAUAUAUUGUGUGUCUGUGUUGUGUAUAUAUUGUGUAAUUUGUGUGUCUCACCCUCUCCAGAGUGUAUUUUAUGUGUUGUGUAUGUUGUGUGUCUCACCCUCUCCAGAGUGUAUUUUGUGUGUGUUGUGUGUCUGUGUUGUGUGUCUCUUGUGUACAUUUGUACCUACAGAUUUUAAAGCUAGAUCUGGUCUUAGGAUUAUUCAUGUCAGUGUUCAGAGUUUAGUCUCUAAAUUGGACAUGAUAAAGACCAGGGGCCUGUUUCAUGAAGCAGGUUUAGUGAAAACUCUGAGUUUCUUAACCCUGAAAUGAGGGAAACUCAGAGUUUUCCGUUUCACGAAGCGAGGUAACUUAACCCAGAGACAGAGGGGUAACUCUAGCCUGUUUCACAAAGAGGGGUAACUUCAACUCUGGGUCAGUUACCGCAGUAACAGACUCUAUGACUCUAACCUGGUCACCAGCAGGUUUAUCUGAGAAAACCUCCAGUUUCUCUCCGUCUCCGCCCUCUUUCAGCCACACGCUGUUUCAUUUCCUCAUUCAUUCAGUCAGUAAGCGAGCGAGUUUUGGCGUAGAACAGCUUUUAUUAACGAUCCAGUGGAUAAAGGAGCAGCAUUACUGCACAGAUCAUUAAAUAUUCGUCGGUAGAUUGUUAUCAGACCGAGCAUAAAUGUUCUCGCAUUUCCGGACAAUUAUCGGUUUGAGCGGUACCGUUUCGUAAUCGUUUCAAGUCCAUAAUCUACAUAAACAACCUAAUCCGUCCUUACAUUUACAUUACCAACCAGUCAUGCUCUCACAUCCAGCAGAUAUUGUGUGUUGCGCUGCGGUUCUUUGCAAAUGGAAGUUUUUAUAUGAUGUCAGAGAUGCAGAGUAAGACAACUGUAUGGAGGACAGUCAGAAAAGUUUUCCUGGCUCUGAAAUGACUUUUACUCGUCAUUGUGGACAUAAACCUGUCAGAACAUCAAGGAGGAUCCACAGGAUUACAGGAUUUCCCAGUGUGAUUGGCUGCAUAGAUGCACACACAUCCCCAUCACAGCUCCCUCACAUCAUGAACAGGAAGUCCAUUCACAGCAUAAAUGUGCAGGUAGGCUACAGGUAGACUGACUACUGUUUCUAAAUGUUAAAGACUGCAUCAUAGUUCAACAUCUGUCAUUCUCUGCACUGUCCAGAUCAGAUGUGAUGCUGCAUACAUCAUUUCUAAUGUGGAGGCCACGUGGUCUGGGUCUGUUCAUGACUCCAGGAUUUAUGGAGAGUCUAACCUGAGCAACAGACUGCAGCGUGGUCAGCAGCAUAAAGAUUUUCACAAUAGAAUUCUCUUGUCUCCCUCCUUUAAUAUACUCUGAUGUAUCCACUAUACAUUACAGGAGAGUUUGAUGGCCUUCUGCUGGGUGACAGGGGUUACCAUGACAACCCAGGCUGAUGACCUCAUACCCUGACCCUGAACCAAGCCCCCAACAGAACUUCAACCGGACUCACUGCAGGACCAGAGCCCGGGUGGAGAUGACCAUAGGCCUGCUGAAAGCCCGUUUCCAGAGCCUACGUCUCCUCAGGGUGACCCCUGAGAGGGCCUGUGAUAUUACUGUGGCAUGUGUUGUUCUUCAUAAUAUUACCACUAUUAGAGGAGAGCAACACCCUGCCCUACAAACUGAAGACCCAGAUGAUGAGCCCAUCCACCUGCAGCUAUCCAGGACAGCAGAGCAGUCAGAGACACCGUAUGCAAUAAUCACUUUAGAGUUUAAGUCUCCAUCAUCACCACCACAGCAAAUAAAGACAUGAUACACAUUU